GCAUGUGCUGGCUUCCAGGCCGUGUAUGGUGCCGGCUUUGUUGGGUGUGUGUGUGCCAGCUUCCAGACUUUGGCUCAUGCUGGCUUGGGUGGGUGUACUGGUGCCGGCUUCCAGGCCUUGGUUGCUGCCGGCUUUGGUGGGUGCACUGGUGCCGGCUUCCAGGCCUUGGCUGCUGCUGGCUUCCAGGCCUUGGUUGGUGCUGGCUUCCAGGCUUUGGCUGGUGUCGGCAUUGCUGGGUGCACUGGUGCUUGCUUCCAGGCCUUGGCUGGUGCUGGCUUCCAGGCCUUGGCUGGCGCUGGCCUUGGUCGGUGCGCUGAUGCCAGCUUCCCGGCCUUGGCUGAUGCUGGCUUAAAUGGGUGGACUGGUGCUGGCUUCCGGGACUUGGCUGGUGCCGGUUUCCAGGUCUUGGCUGGUGACGGCUUUGGUGGGUGCACUGGUGCUGGCUUCCGGGCCUUCGUGUGUGCUGGCUUCCAGGCCUUGGCUGCUGCCAGCUUUGGUGGGUGCACUGGUACCAACUUCUGGACCUUGGCUUCUGCGGCAUUGGUGGGUGCACUGGAGCCAGUUUCCAGGCCUUGGCUCGUGCCGGCUUCCGGUCAUUGGCUGGAGCUGGGUUUGGUGGGUGCAGUGGUGCUGGCUUCCAUCCCUUGGCUGGUGAUGGCUUCCAGGCCUUGGCAGGUGCCGGCUUCCAGGCCUUGGCUGCUGCUGGUUUUGGUGGGUGCACUGGUGCUGGCUUCCAGGAGUUGGCAGGUGCUGGCUUCCAUGCCUUGGCAGGUUCCGGCUUCUAGCCCUCUGCUGGUGCCGGCUUCCAGACCUUGGCUGCUGCAGGCUUUGGUGGGUGCACUGGUGCUGGCUUCCAGACUUUGGCUGGUGUUGGCUUCUAGCCCUCUGCUGUUGCAGGCUUCCAGGCCUCGGCUCGUGCCCGUUUCCAGGCCUUCUCUGGUGCCGGCUUGUGUGGGUGUGCUGGUGGCCUUGGCUGGUAUCGGCUUCCGGGUCUUGGUUGGUUCCGGCUUCUAG
rnacentral:lncRNA from 1 species